rnacentral:lncRNA from 1 species
CUGGAUAAAGAAAAAUUAAUCCCACUGUCCUACCUAUGAGAGAUGACCCAGGUGAUCAGCCUGUGACGUAUGCUACUUCUAUCUACUUGGGAACCAGGGAGAGAAAGAUACUGAGCCUGGCUCACAUUGAAGAUGAAGAAAGUGUGCAACAAGGCAUCUCCAGUGCACAGAAGCAAGUCUGAA